GAUGAACGCUGGCGGCGUGCCUAACACAUGCAAGUCGAGCGAGGGUUUGCUCAGUAUUGAGUAUUCUAAGACUAGAAUGUUCAAUUCUGAGCAAAACCAAGCGGCGGACGGGUGAGUAACGCGUGGGUAACCUGCCCUAUACACAUGGAUAACAUACUGAAAAGUUUACUAAUACAUGAUAAUAUAUAUUUGCGGCAUCGCAGAUAUAUCAAAGUGUUAGCGGUAUAGGACGGACCCGCGUCUGAUUAGCUAGUUGGUGAGAUAACUGCCCACCAAGGCGACGAUCAGUAGCCGACCUGAGAGGGUGAUCGGCCACAUUGGAACUGAGACACGGUCCAAACUCCUACGGGAGGCAGCAGUGGGGAAUAUUGCACAAUGGGCGAAAGCCUGAUGCAGCAACGCCGCGUGAACGAUGAAGGUCUUCGGAUCGUAAAGUUCUGUUGCAGGGGAAGAUAAUGACGGUACCCUGUGAGGAAGCCCCGGCUAACUACGUGCCAGCAGCCGCGGUAAUACGUAGGGGGCUAGCGUUAUCCGGAUUUACUGGGCGUAAAGGGUGCGUAGGUGGUCCUUCAAGUCGGUGGUUAAAGGCUACGGCUCAACCGUAGUAAGCCGCCGAAACUGGAGGACUUGAGUGCAGGAGAGGAAAGUGGAAUUCCCAGUGUAGCGGUGAAAUGCGUAGAUAUUGGGAGGAACACCAGUAGCGAAGGCGGCUUUCUGGACUGCAACUGACACUGAGGCACGAAAGCGUGGGUAGCAAACAGG
rnacentral:rRNA from 1 species